rnacentral:miRNA from 1 species
UACAAUUAUUUAGGAACGGAG